rnacentral:misc_RNA from 1 species
GAUGAAGAACGUAGCGAAAUGCGAUAAGUAGUGUGAAUUGCAAAAUUCAGUGAAUCAUCGAAUCUUUGAACGCACAUUGCGCCCCUUGGUAUUCCAUGGGGCAUGCCUGUUCGAGCGUCAUUUGUACCUUCAAGCUAUGCUUGGUGUUGGGUGUUUGUCUACUCCACGGUGUUUAGACUCGCCUCAAAUUCAUUGGCAGCCGAUGUAUUGGUUUGAAGCGCAGCACAAUUUGCGAUUCUGGCUUGUAUCAUCAGCGUCCAUUAAGCACAAUUAACACUUUUGACCUCGGAUCAAGUAGGGAUACCCGCUGAACUUAAGCAUAUCAAUAAGCGGAGGA